GUAACAACUCACCUGCCGAAGCAACUAGCCCUGAAAAUGGAUGGCGCUCUAGCGUCGUGCCUAUACCGGGCCGUCAACGGCAAAGUGGGCAACUGCUGCAAGGCAGGUGCCGUUACGCCUUGACGAGUAGGAGGGUCGCGGCGGUGUGCGCAGAAGGGUCGGGGCGUGAGCCCGCCUGGAGCCGCCGUCGGCGCAGAUCUUGGUGGUAGUAGCAAAUACUCUAGCGAGGGCCUGGAGGACUGACGUGGAGAAGGGUUUCUUGUGAACAGCCGUUGCACAAGAGUCAGUCGACCCUAAGCCCUAGGAGAAAUCCGAUGUUGAUGGGUGGCUAGACAAAAUACCACGUUCGGUUUGUUGCGAAGGCCACAAGGUCUACAAGUUCAGCCUCUUUGGCGCGGACAGUGGUCUUGGUGGCACUACGUUUCAGCCCGAGGAGAGCGACAGCUUGCAAUCACAGACCCGGCACUGUUGUGUCUGUGGCGCUGUGCCUGCUGUGCGCGAACCAGGGUUCUGGACGGAGUCGUGACAACUGCUCCUGUGGGGCAAAAGGGAAUCCGGUUCCUAUUCCGGAACCCGGCUGCGGAACCGUCACUCUGCGGGCACUCGCCUGCGAGCGCUCGUCGGGGUAACCCAAACUGGCCCGGAGACGCCGGCGGGGGGUCUGGAAAGAGUUUUCUUUUCUUUAUAAGCGUUCGAGUACCCUGGAAUCCUAUAGCAGGGAGAUAGGGUUUGGAACGCGAAGAGCACCGCAGUUGCGGCGGUGUCUGGACCUUCCCCCCGGACCUUGAAAAUCCGGGUGAGGGCUACGCGGAAGUCGCGCCGGAUCGUACCCAUAUCCGCAGCAGGUCUCCAAGGUUAAGAGCCUCUAGUCGAUAGAAUAAUGUAGGUAA
rnacentral:rRNA from 1 species